rnacentral:lncRNA from 1 species
GUGUUGUUGAUGAAGGCAUAUUCAGCUCUUGCACACCAUUGUGCUCAGUAAAUAUUUGCCCCAAAAGUGGAUGAGUAGAGCUACUAGGAAGAUUGAAUUGAGUGACUCUAGUGUGUGAUUCAAAUGACCAAUUUUUCAUUGUAUUGUGACUCCAAAAGAAGACAGUAUUCUGUGUGUUUGUGGGUUUAGGGGGUGUUGCUGUAUGGCCCCAGGGGAGGUCAGAAGGUUUCGGCACUUUUCGUUGCUCUGUCCUUAAUAUAGUGCUCCACUUGAACUGUCUAUUUUGAAGGGGAGAAUCUUCAAAAUAAUAAAAUCCGUUAGUCUUAAACCAAGAGUUCAUUCAAUAUUAAAGAAACAUGUUGAGUUAGAAGGAAAUAAUGGAGAGUAGAAAUGGUUUCACAUAAGAAGGUUGCUGUCUUUGUCCACUUUUAUCAUUCACUAUCUUUUUUUUUUUAAUUAUACUACUGUUUUGCCUUAACUUCACUCAUUUAGCUUUUAUCCCAUGUUCUCUGGGCCUCAUCACAGCAGGAGGUAAGUGGGGGUGAGGGACUGAGCAUUACUG